rnacentral:rRNA from 1 species
AGAGUUUGAUCAUGGCUCAGAGUGAACGCUGGCGGCAGGCCUAAUACAUGCAAGUCGAACGGCAGCACAGCAGAGCUUGCUCUGUGGGUGGCGGGUGGCGGACGGGUGAGGAAUACAUGGGAAUCUGCCCAGUCGUGGGGAUAACGUAGGGAAACUUACGCUAAUACCGCAUGCGCCCUUCGGGGGAAAGCCGGGGACCUUCGGGCCUGGCGCGAUUGGAUGAGCCCAUGUCGGAUUAGCUAGUUGGCGGGGUAAUGGCCCACCAAGGCGACGAUCCGUAGCUGGUCUGAGAGGAUGAUCAGCCACACUGGAACUGAGACACGGUCCAGACUCCUACGGGAGGCAGCAGUAGGGAAUAUUGGACAAUGGGCGCAAGCCUGAUCCAGCCAUGCCGCGUGAGUGAAGAAGGCCCUCGGGUUGUAAAGCUCUUUUGUCCGGAAAGAAAAGCGCCGGGUUAAUACCCUGGUGUCCUGACGGUACCGGAAGAAUAAGCACCGGCUAACUUCGUG